CAGCCGCCGCGGUAAUAUGUAGGUGGCAAGCGUUGUUCGGAAUUAUUGGGCGUAAAGGGCUCGCAGGCGGUUUCUUAAGUCUGAUGUGUAAGCCCCCGGCUCAACCGGGGAGGGUCAUUGGAAACUGGGAAACUUGAGUGCAGAAGAGGAGAGUGGAAUUCCACGUGUAGCGGUGAAAUGCGUAGAGAUGUGGAGGAACACCAGUGGCGAAGGCGACUCUCUGGUCUGUAACUGACGCUGAGGAGCGAAAGCGUGGGGAGCGAACAGGAUUAGAUACCCCUGUAGUCCCUGUCUCUUAUAA
rnacentral:rRNA from 1 species